UGCAGCUUCCAGCAGCUGCACAGGGAGCAGCAGCCCCAGCCCCCGGCUUUUGACCCACGAGGUAGGAAAAGAGUUGUAGCCUUGCUUUUCCCAAACAUAAUUAAAAGUGACCGUUUGAAGUAUUUUUCCACAAGGCUCUGUCAUUCUCGGCCAGCAAUUGUCAAGCCUAUUAGGAAGGGGAACCUAGAAGGCCAAAGAAUUCUCUGCCUUUUUUUUCCUGCUUGCUGCCUGUGAUGUUUGUGCGAAGGCAGCAAUAGAGCUCUGUAUCCCAGAGCCACAUUAUGGAGCCUGACCAAUGGGUUUGGAUUCUUGCAGCCACCCCAGGCACUUCAGCAUCCAGUGCUCCACCUGGCACUGCUGGUGCAGCAUUAACAGCCUCCAGCUCAGCCCGUAACACAACUGAGGAAGAGCAGUCACCAGCGGUGGAUCUUGCCUUUGCUGUGGAGCAAAUGAUCCGGGAGAUCAGGAGAUCCCUAUCUGAAAGGUCUCCCUCUGCCCAGGGCAAUAUUAAUGCUGUGCCUGAGUCUUCAGGAGGUGAGCCUGUGGACAGAGCUGCAGCAGAGGAAGCCUCAUCUGGCACGGAGAGCUGCAGGAACAGUUCCCCAGAGCCCGAGGAGCCUGCUCCCAUGUGACCGACCUCUCCAGGAGGGCUAGCCUGUGUGGCAGGAAGAGACAGAGGGAGAGCCUGGAACAUCGGGCAAGUUGACUUCCUCUGUCUCUAGUUAUAUUUAUAGAUGUAUAUAGUUAUGUUUAUUUAUCUAGGUAGUUGUAUUUAUAGAUUUAUGUGAUUAUAUUUAUCUAUAUAGAUAGAGAUCUGUACAGUUAAUUUUUUUUGGUUUUACUGGUAUAUCGUUAUAGCUUUAGAUAUGUUGUUGUAGUUAUAGAUGUGCACAGUUGCACUUAUACCUGUGUAUAGUUACAUUUACAUAUAUACAUUUGUAAAUGCCUAUUUAUAUUUGUAUAUGGGGGUUUAGCUACGUAGAUUGAUAUUUAUAUACACCUUUUUUUAACCUCUUGCCCUGUUCUGCUUCCUCGCUCACCUCUUGCUUUCCCCCUGUGCCCCCUGUGUCCCCUCUCCCUGGGCUGGGUCCGAGCUGGCGGCCGGGCCGGGCGCAGCAGCAGUUCCAGCCCCGGGUGUCCCUGGAGCGGUGGGAGCUGCCGGUGGCCCCAGGCACUGUCCCCUGAGGAGCUGCUGAAGGACGGUGAGACUGAGGGGGCUGAGGGGGCGGUGGUGCUGAAGGGACGGUGACCCUGAGCUGCUGCUGGGGCUGAGGGCUGUGGGGCAGCCCAGGGCCAUGGUGGCACUGAGGUGACAGGCAAGUGGCACAGGCUGAGGGGGUGGCGGGUCUAAGGGGACGGGAUGGGUCAGAAGGGACUGAGAGGGGUGAGAGGACUGUGAGGGGCUGGAGAAGCUGAAGGGGGCUGGGGGUUUGGUGAGAGCAUGGCGGGGCUGAGGGGAUGGAGGGGCCAGCAGGGAGCACAGAGGGCUCCGGGACUGCAGCUCUGCCAGGCCUUGGAACCAAUUCCAGAGCCUCCACUUUUGCCACAGCUGUAAUGACCACAAGGACAGCUGGAGACUGCCAGGAGCCAGCAGGGAGAAGCCGAGGGCCAGCAGCAGGAGCAGUGAGCGAGGCCCUGCUGCUGCCAGCCUGGAGAGAGCCCGGAUGUGCCAUCUGCUGUCCCUGUCCAGGAGAUCUGCCAAACUUCAUCUGCAGGCUCAGAAGAACCGGUGUCCUUUGGCCACCCUCAGUUCCCUCUGAAGAUGGGAUCACCUGCAGAGCAGAGGGGACCAGCUGCAGCUCCAGGCCCAGCUCUUGCCAGUCACAGCUGAGCCUGUGGCAAGCUCCAGGAGCUGCUGCCAUCUCCCUCCCUGUUGGUAGCUCACUCCCUCCAGUCCCCAGGCCCUGCCCAUCCACCUUUUUCCCUCCCAGCUCACCCCUUCGCUUUGCCUUCCCUUAUUAAACAGUUUGGCUUUUUCA